rnacentral:rRNA from 1 species
ACGGAAGGCAGCAGUGGGGAAUAUUGCACAAUGGGGAAACCCUGAUGCAGCGACGCCGCGUGGGUGAAGAAGUUUUUCGGAAUGUAAAGCCCUAUCAGCAGGGAAGAUAAUGACGGUACCUGACUAAGAAGCCCCGGCUAACUACGUGCCAGCAGCCGCGGUAAUACGUAGGGGGCAAGCGUUAUCCGGAUUUACUGGGUGUAAAGGGAGCGUAGACGGAAUAGCAAGUCUGAAGUGAAAUGUAGGGGCUCAACCCCUGAACUGCUUUGGAAACUGUUGAUCUUGAGUACCGGAGGGGCAGGCGGAAUUCCUGGUGUAGCGGUGAAAUGCGUAGAUAUCAGGAAGAACACCGGUGGCGAAGGCGGCCUGCUGGACGGUAACUGACGUUGAGGCUCGAAAGCGUGGGGAGCAAACAGGAUUAGAUACCCUGGUA